rnacentral:rRNA from 1 species
UACGAAGGGGGCUAGCGUUGCUCGGAAUCACUGGGCGUAAAGCGCACGUAGGCGGAUUGCUAAGUCAGGGGUGAAAUCCUGGAGCUCAACUCCAGAACUGCACUUGAUACUGGCGGUCUCGAGUCCGGGAGAGGUGAGUGGAACUGCGAGUGUAGAGGUGAAAUUCGUAGAUAUUCGCAAGAACACCAGUGGCGAAGGCGGCUCACUGGCCCGGUACUGACGCUGAGGUACGAAAGCGUGGGGAGCAAACAGG